GGGUCAUUAGCUCAAUUGGUAGAGCAGGCGACUCUUAAUCGUCAGGUUGGGGGUUCGAUUCCCUCAUGGCCCACCA
rnacentral:tRNA from 4 species